rnacentral:rRNA from 1 species
AACGUAGGGGGCCAGCGUUGCUCGGAAUUACUGGGCGUAAAGGGUCCGUAGGCGGUGUGACAAGUCGGUAGUGAAAUCUCCGGGCUUAACUCGGAGGCUGCUGCCGAAACUGUUGUGCUAGAGUGUGAGAGAGGCGAGUGGAAUUACGGGUGUAGCGGUGAAAUGCGUAGAUAUCCGUAGGAACAUCCGAGGCGAAAGCGGCUCGCUGGAUCACAACUGACGCUGAGGGACGAAAGCUAGGGGAGCAAACAGG